UACAGAGGUCCCGAGCGUUGUUCGGAUUCAUUGGGCGUAAAGGGUGCGUAGGUGGCGCCGUAAGUGGGGUGUGAAAUCCCGGGGCUUAACCCCGGGACUGCAUUCCAUACUGCGGUGCUUGAGGACUGGAGAGGAGACUGGAAUUUACGGUGUAGCAGUGAAAUGCGUAGAGAUCGUAAGGAAGACCAGUGGCGAAGGCGAGUUUCUGGACAGUAACUGACGCUGAGGCACGAAGGCCAGGGGAGCAAACGGG
rnacentral:rRNA from 1 species